rnacentral:sRNA from 1 species
CUUGCUGUGGGCAAAUAAAGUGAAUGUGCGCAUCAAUUGCACCGGCAGUUAGAAUCUGACCUUCGCCAGCAAUCACUUCAGUACCCGGCCCCACUUCAAUGGUCACACCCGCUUGAGUAUCUGGGUUGCCCGCUUUACCAAUAGCUUGAAUAUAGCCACCGUUUAACGCGACAUCGGCUUUAAUAAUGCCGGUUGCAUCUAAAAUUAAGGCGUUGGUAAUCACUGUAUCGGGCACUUUAUCGGAAGUGGCUUGGCUCUGACCCAUGCCAUCAC